UACAGAGGGGGCAAGCGUUGUUCGGAAUUACUGGGCGUAAAGGGCGCGUAGGCGGCCCGCUAAGUCGAACGUGAAAUCCCCGAGCUCAACUCGGGAACUGCGUCCGAUACUGGCGGGCUUGAAUUCGGGAGAGGGAUGCAGAAUUCCAGGUGUAGCGGUGAAAUGCGUAGAUAUCUGGAGGAAUACCGGUGGCGAAGGCGGCAUCCUGGACCGACAUUGACGCUGAGGAGCGAAAGCUAGGGGAGCAAACGGG
rnacentral:rRNA from 1 species